AAGUAUAAUUAAUUACAAUAGAAAAAUACAGUUUGAUUUAAACUCACAUGUUGAAAAAAGUAGAGUACCAAUGAAUAUCAAAGCUGCUUU
rfam:Brassica napus, WGS project CCCW01000000 data, contig: 6805